rnacentral:lncRNA from 1 species
UUUGAUAUAACUUCCAAGCAUGCAAUGUAUAUGCAUUAUCUGAUUAAUCUAAUAGUUUGAGUUGAGAUACAUUUCAGGAAAGAAUCAAACACUACACUUGGACAAAUCUUGGAUCUCAAGCAAUCAACCAAAUAUUGAUCAUAUCAUACAAGGCUUGAAGAUUAUGUGUAAAUGUGUCUAUUGUUCAUAGUGUUUAUUAGUUAGAUUCAUC